rnacentral:rRNA from 1 species
CAUAACAAGGUAACCCUAACAAGGUCUGACCGUAACCCGGNCUUCGGCCUGGUGGCAAGUGGCGCAACGGGUGAGUAAUGUAUCGGCAACGUGCCCAGAUAGCGGGGGAUAACUACGCGAAAGCGUGGCUAAUACCGCAUACGCCCUACGGGGGAAAGCGGGGGACCUUCGGGCCUCGCACUAUUGGAGCGGCCGAUAUCGGAUUAGCUAGUUGGUGGGGUAACGGCCUACCAAGGCGACGAUCCGUAGCUGGUUUGAGAGGACGACCAGCCACACUGGGACUGAGACACGGCCCANACUCCUACGGGAGGCAGCAGUGGGGAAUUUUGGACAAUGGGGCAACCUGAUCCAGCCAUCCCGCGUGUGCGAUGAAUGGCCUUCGGGUUGUAAAC